GGGGGCGAAUGGCUUCGACCGGAUCGUGGAGAGGCAGGUGGCAUGCCCAGGACGCCGGUUGGCCUGGUUAAUCAUCCGGUAACUAACUUUACUUGGCAACUACCAGUUGCGCAUGGCUGCCUAGAUUAGGUAGCCCGUCCUCUUCCGGCUUUGCCUGUGGGCUGGAUCCGGACGUCGAACAGCAGGCUGGCUGACACGAUCGUUUGGGUCGUGGAGGCGAGAACUCACCGAACUAGCCGAUCGCGGAGCCUGUCGUCCGGCGUCGCAGGAGGCGAAGACUCAAUAGAACGACUACGCAUGUAGAGGCCUGUCUUAAAGCAUCUCGGGACGCGGGUCCGAAUCCCGCCGCCUCCAA
rnacentral:tmRNA from 1 species